UGCCCCGUGGCUGAGUUGGUUACAGCGGUUGACUGUUAAUUAAUUAUCAUUAAUAACCCUAUUAAGGAUGAUUACGUAAUACAUCAGACGGUCGAGAGUUCGAGUCUCUCCGGGGCAG
rfam:Cryptococcus gattii WM276 chromosome D, complete sequence.